rnacentral:rRNA from 1 species
CCUACGGGUGGCAGCAGUGAGGAAUAUUGGUCAAUGGGCGCGAGCCUGAACCAGCCAAGUCGCGUGAGGGAAGACGGUCCUAUGGAUUGUAAACCUCUUUUGUCGGGGAGCAAAAGACGCCACGCGUGGCGUUUCGAGAGUACCCGAAGAAAAAGCAUCGGCUAACUCCGUGCCAGCAGCCGCGGUAAUACGGAGGAUGCGAGCGUUAUCCGGAUUUAUUGGGUUUAAAGGGUGCGCAGGAGGAAGAUCAAGUCAGCGGUAAAAUUGAGAGGCUCAACCUCUGCGAGCCGUUGAAACUGGUUUUCUUGAGUGCGCUAGAAGUGUGCGGAAUGCGUGGUGUAGCGGUGAAAUGCUGAGAUAUCACGCAGAACUCCGAUUGCGAAGGCAGCAUACCGGCGCUCAACUGACGCUCAUGCACGAAAGUGUGGGUAUCGAACAGGAUUAGAUACCCCAGUAGUC